CAACACUAUCUCAAAAAAGAAUGUCGAGCUUACUGCGUAAGCCUCUAACAUUUUGGUAUGUUAAUAGCAGGAAAGUUAGUUUUUUGAUUGAGUGGAAAGAUUUGAUGGAAAGAUUUUGAUGGCACGUUGGGCUGAUUUGGGAGGUUUAUGGAGGGCCUAUUCUUCUUCUUAACCUUAAACUCUUUAAUUUAAAGACGCUUAUCUUAAAUGAGGCUAUCUCCCUGGCAUUGGAGAAAUUAAACUUCUGCUACUGCAAUGCAGACCAUUACGUUUAGCGAUAGCAUCACCCACGAGGCCUUUUUCAGCAGGGGACACUUGGAUGAGCGUUCUUAAAGAAAGCACAAGCCGACGCACGAAAAAAUAAUUCAAUUACGUUUUUACACAUUGUAAAAGGCAUGCAAUCGCGGUAAGAAAAGAGAACGAACGAUAACGAUAUUUAGCCGAUGGUUUUCAAAUGCAACCCUAAAAAACAAUAAAUGGCAAUACAAAAUAUUUCGGGCUUAGACAUAUUUCUAAUCCUAUUUUAAAUUUAAAAAUUUUCAAGGCCAAAAAAAGCCAAAAAUACACCUGAAACAAUACAAAAUGGAGGCAGUGGAUACUGGUGGUUUAUUUUCUAGCCAUAUAAAAAAAAAUACACGCAUGUUGAAGUGGAGUGCGGGGAUGGAACAUUUUGGCAUGAAAGAUUAGGUAGAGGCGGCUCAAAGCUCGCUCGGAGCCCGUCACACUUAGGCCGGUUUCGGCCCGUUGCAUAAAGACGAAUAAAGCAGAUAUCGAGCUGAAACUUAAUAUAUUUGAUAAAUCAUUUGACCACGCCUACCACAAUAGCCCAUAUAUGACAAGAAGCGUAUACGUGAUCAUAAAGAAAAGUUGUUAGAGAUAUAAAUGUAUGAUAUACAUAUUUGUAUGAUUUCUAUGUAAUAGUGGUAAAUAUAAAACAGGUUUUUGGAUAAAGAA